rnacentral:lncRNA from 1 species
GCUGGCUUUCACUUCUCACCCAGAUUUACAUUGCCGAGAUGGAACACAGCGUGCCCAGAGCCCAGCCUUCUCGGUGCCCUGCCUCGUCUCUCGAAGGAGCUCCAAGAAAAUCUGAAGUGACCAAGGAAACUCAAGUGGCACACGGAAAUCUGGGAGAACACAGCUUUAUUUUCACUGGCAGUCUCAGCAGGAUCGUUUCCCAAAGGUUGAGCACCCAAAAGGGUUAAGGUCUUUUGUAGAAGCGGAUUUUGUCAUGCCUUAAAAGUUGGAUCUCCAUCAACCUACCAUCCUACAUGUAACACAAUCACAGG